UGGUGGAGUGAUUUGUCUGGUUAAUUCCGUUAACGGACGAGACCUCGACCUGCUAAAUAGUUCGGCGAAUCUUUUGAUUCAUACGUUUGACUUCUUAGAGGGACUAUCGGUGGUUCAGCCGAUGGAAGUUCGAGGCAAUAACA
rnacentral:rRNA from 1 species